CCUACGGGAGGCAGCAGUGAGGAAUAUUGGUCAAUGGGCGGGACCCUGAACCAGCCAAGUCGCGUGAGGGAAGAAGGUACUGAGUAUUGUAAACCUCUUUUUCCAGGGGACAAAGGCGGCCACGGGUGGCCGUAAGAGGGUACCUGGAGAAAAAGCAUCGGCUAACUCCGUGCCAGCAGCCGCGGUAAUACGGAGGCUGCGACCGUUAUCCGGAUGUAUUGGGGUUAAAGGGUGCGCUGGCGGCGUGUCAAGUCAGCGGUAAAAUGUCGGGGCUCAACCCCGGCCGGCCGUUGAAACUGGUGUGCUCGAGUUGGAGAGAAGUAUGUGGAAUUCGUGGUGUAGCGGUGAAAUGCAUAGAUAGCACGAAGAAUCCUGAUUGCGAAGGCAGCAUACCGGCUCCACACUGACGCUGAGGCACGAAAGCGUGGGGAUCGAACAGGAUUAGAUACCCCGGUAGUC
rnacentral:rRNA from 1 species